ensembl:snRNA U6 U6 spliceosomal RNA
GUGCUCGCUCCGGCAGCACAUACACUAAACUUGGACUGAUAGAGAGAAAAUUCGCAUGGCCCUGCACAAGGACGACACGCACAUUCAUGAGCGUUCCAUAUAUUU